rnacentral:rRNA from 1 species
AACGCGAAGAACCUUACCCAGGCUUGACAUGCAGAGGAAGACGGCAGAGAUGACGUUGCCCUUAGGGGCCUCUGCACAGGUGCUGCAUGGCUGUCGUCAGCUCGUGCCGUGAGGUGUUGGGUUAAGUCCCGCAACGAGCGCAACCCUUAUCAUUAGUUGCCAACACGAGAGGUGGGAACUCUAAUGAGACUGCCUGGGUUAACCAGGAGGAAGGUGAGGAUGACGUCAAGUCCGCAUGGCCCUUAUGUCUGGGGCUACACACGCGCUACAAUGGUCGGUACAGAAGGCAGCGAAACCGCGAGGUGAAGCAAAUCCCGAAAGCCGAUCUCAGUUCAGAUUGUAGUCUGCAACUCGACUACAUGAAGAUGGAAUUGCUAGUAAUGGCGUGUCAGCAACAACGCCGUGAAUACGUUCCCGGGCCUUGUACACACCGUGUCGA